GACGAACGCUGGCGGCGCGCCUAACACAUGCAAGUCGAACGAGCGAGAGGAGGUUUACUUUCUCAAGCGAGUGGCGAACGGGUGAGUAACGCGUGAGGAACCUGCCUCAAAGAGGGGAACAACAGUUGGAAACGACUGCUAAUACCGCAUAAGCCCACGACCCGGCAUCGGGUAGAGGGAAAAGGAGCAAUCCGCUUUGAGAUGGCCUCGCGUCCGAUUAGCUAGUUGGUGAGGUAAUGGCCCACCAAGGCGACGAUCGGUAGCCGGACUGAGAGGUUGAACGGCCACAUUGGGACUGAGACACGGCCCAGACUCCUACGGGAGGCAGCAGUGGGGAAUAUUGCACAAUGGGGGAAACCCUGAUGCAGCGACGCCGCGUGGAGGAAGAAGGUCUUCGGAUUGUAAACUCCUGUUGUUGAGGAAGAUAAUGACGGUACUCAACAAGGAAGUGACGGCUAACUACGUG
rnacentral:rRNA from 1 species